GUCGCGGAUAGGAACCAUAAAGUGCCUUUGCAUUCCGUGGGCCGAUAAACCGCGUAAAUUGAUCGAUGAUAAUGGUCGCAUUCUUAACAUUGGUUAUUGGUGCAUUACCAAUUCAUCGUACACUU
rnacentral:snoRNA from 1 species